CACGUAGGGUGCGAGCGUUGUCCGGAAUUAUUGGGCGUAAAGAGCUCGUAGGCGGUGUGUCGCGUCGGCCGUGAAAACCUGCAGCUUAACUGUGGGCUUGCGGUCGAUACGGGCAUCACUGGAGUUCGGCAGGGGAGACUGGAAUUCCUGGUGUAGCGGUGAAAUGCGCAGAUAUCAGGAGGAACACCGGUGGCGAAGGCGGGUCUCUGGGCCGAUACUGACGCUGAUGCACGAAAGCCUGGGGAGCAAACAGG
rnacentral:rRNA from 1 species